GCAGACACAUUUCAGCCAAUCAGCAGCAGACCCUCCCUCCCAGACCCUCCCACCUCCUGGACAGCUCACUAAGAAUGCAGCUUCACAAUGAAUAUAAAAUGGAUGCUGUCCAGGAGGUGGGAGGGUCUGGGAGGGAGGGUCUGCUGCUGAUUGGCUGGAAUGUGUCU